rnacentral:rRNA from 1 species
GAUGAACGCUGGCGGCGUGCCUAAUACAUGCAAGUCGAGCGAACAGACGAGGAGCUUGCUCCUCUGACGUUAGCGGCGGACGGGUGAGUAACACGUGGAUAACCUACCUAUAAGACUGGGAUAACUUCGGGAAACCGGAGCUAAUACCGGAUAACAUGUUGAACCGCAUGGUUCAACAGUGAAAGACGGUUUUGCUGUCACUUAUAGAUGGGUCCGCGUCGCAUUAGCUAGUUGGUAAGGUAACGGCUUACCAAGGCAACGAUGCGUAGCCGACCUGAGAGGGUGAUCGGCCACACUGGAACUGAGACACGGUCCAGACUCCUACGGGAGGCAGCAGUAGGGAAUCUUCCGCAAUGGGCGAAAGCCUGACGGAGCAACGCCGCGUGAGUGAAGAAGGUCUUCGGAUCGUAAAACUCUGUUAUUAGGGAAGAACAAAUGUGUAAGUAACUAUGCACGUCUUGACGGUACCUAAUCAGAAAGCCACGGCUAACUACGUG